GAUGAACGCUGGCGGCGUGCCUAACACAUGCAAGUCGAGCGAAGAGGGGAAGGGUGAGGAACACGGGGAUAACCUCAGAUAAGAAUGGCAUAACUUAGGGGAAGCGGAGCUAAACAGGAACCUUAUAGAUGGAGCCUCGCUGCAUUAGCUAGGGGGUAAGGUAACUGCUGACCAAGGCAACGAUGCAUGGCCGACCUGAGAGGGUGAUCAGCCACACUGGAACUGAGACACGGCCCAGACUCCUACGGGAGGCAGCAGUAGUGAAUCUUCCGCAAUGUGCUAAAGCCUGACCGAGCAACGCCGCGUGAGUGAUGAAGGUCUUCGGAUCGUAAACCUCUGUUAUUUGGGAGGCGGUACCUAAUCAGAAAGCCCCGGCUAACUCCGUGCCAGCAGCCGCGGUAAUAC
rnacentral:rRNA from 1 species